rnacentral:lncRNA from 1 species
UUGCAAACAGUUGCAGUCAUUAAUUGCUUGUGAUGACUGUUUUGACUCGUUCAUAUGAAAACAUUCAUUCCAUUUAAUUUUACUGAUGCUUUGCUGACUUGGCGAGAUUUUUUUGUGCAGUUUCAGUAAUUUCACAUGGUUUUUCAGGACAAGGAGGAAGUAAAACAAGAUGGGUGGGCAUGACAGCUUUUGGGUGAAACAUCUGCCCCAUCUAAAUGGUUACCUCGAAAUGCUUGUGCAAUCAGCGAGAAGCCUUUCGGCAGUGCCUCGUCCGCUCUAGUGGGUACAGCGGAUGUAAGCCACUGCAUCUUCACAAAACGGCUUUUGGUGAAAUAAAGUUUUCAUUCAGACUG